rnacentral:lncRNA from 1 species
AUAUUGAAAAAAUAGGUGAAUUUUUCGUGUAUAAAUAGAAUGCAAGAGAAGAGGGGAAAAUAACUACACUUAAUAAUUUCACAGUUGAGAGCAGAGCAUACAUUAAAGAUGAUGCAGAAGAAGACGUUGGCGAUAGCUCUGGUGUGGCUCCUGGUUGCGUCGUCAAUCAUGAUGUGCGCGUACGCAGCUGCAGACAGUACCCCAUUGAAAACUGCUGACCAAGUUCUCCAUCCCCUAGCAGGUAAGAACGAACAUCAUAUAUAUCCUUUUGCUUUCGCAUCUGUUCUACAAAUUAAUAUUCUACAUAGUAUAUAUAUAUAUACAUACUACUACAAUUAGGCGCAAUGUGUUUCGGUGCUUGAAUGCAUGCAUGCAUGUGCAUUUACGUAAUAUAUAGUAAUUUAGAGUAUAUAUAUAUAUAUAUAUAUUCAUAGAACUAACUAUAUGUGGAUGCUAAUAAAUACAUACACUACUUGAAGGUUGUCGCUGCUGCAACUUCAUUCGUGUGAAAGGGUUUAUCCAAUGCGGAACAGUUUGUUGUGUGGAUGGAUGUUGCGGACGCAAGUGAAGCACCUGCAAUGCAGCUACACAGACAAUAAUAUGAAUCAUGGUGAUAUAGUUGCACAAUAAGAUGAAUAAUGGUGGUUAAAAGUUGCAACAUCUCUGAAGCAAUUAAUCAACCACCCCCCNNNNNNNNNNNNNNNNNNNNNNNNNNNNNNNNNNNNNNNNNNNNNNNNNNNNNNNNNNNNNNNNNNNNNNNNNNNNNNNNNNNNNNNNNNNNNNNNNNNNUAAUUAUUAUCGAUUUCCCUGUUUGUUUGUUUUGCAUUCCUAUCGAGUUAUAUAAUGUUUGUCGAAAAGAUCCUGUUUAAUGAAAAAUGUCUGGAAAUCUGGGUGUUUCAGCAGGAUUUCUUUACGUUAUGUAUGUCUACAUGAGGAUUUAUCUAUAAUCUAUCUAUAUAAAAGCGAUCGACUCGUUAAUCUAAAAGUAUCAUUCAUUUCAAGAGUUUGAUUCACAAUCUGUCCUGCCUGCCUACUAAUUUCAAGGAACAACUAGAUGAACUGCUUCUAGUGUUAACACAAGAAAAACUGUUUCUGCUCCAUACCAACCAAAACAUACAAAACUGCACCUUUUUAUAGUCAUUUCAUGAUACUUACCAUAUGAAUGUUCCAAUACACAAAUGUUCCGAUCUAUAAAAAUUUAUUUUUUAUUUUUAUUUUUUUGAAAAAACCUGGAAAAAAAUACAUUAUGUCGUUCAAAUUAGGGAGUACAUGCGUAAUAGGGUUGAGGGAUAUAUACCUACUCUAUUCAAAAAUGAAGUACGUUACAAACUUUCAUAAUCUAAGUAAGAAAAUAAAGUAUCGAUAAACAACUUUCAAAGACAUGCCAAGUCUCGCAUCCAAUUUAUAUCAUAUAAUCACCAUUCAACGAUCAUCAUAAAAGAAAAUCACUCACCACAUCAGUAGAAUCAGAGCUCCCACAAGGAGAAAAAAGACCCCACAAGAGGGGAGAAAGAACGAUUUAAACCUAAAGGAGAAAAUAAAAUUCCAAAACAAUGAUAAAAUAAAAAAAGAUAGUCAAUAAGAAGAUCAUGGGAGGGUCUCUUCAAACAAGAUACAGACCCUCACCCUCCCCAGGUCUAAGUUUGAAGUUUGGGAGACUAGGGUUUAUGGCUAGAGAGAGAAAAACACAACUAUGAAUGAAUUAUUAGUCUCAUGAUCCGUGUUAAGGGUCUCACAUUUUUAGUUUCAAAUAGGUCUAAAUGAUAUGACAUUGAAUAUUUUAAUAGUACUUUGACACUUUUUGAAAUAAAAAAUUGGAUUUCUAACUAGAUUGGAUUUCUAGGGACUUCAAACAGAAUGCUGGAAUUUAUCAUGCACCUUUUCUACCUUCAACAGAAACUUCUCUACCCAACAGUGUGAUUUCUAACUGUAUUGUGUGCGUAAAAUAUACGGAUUUGGUCAUCUUAUAUUGUAAAAUCAGAAAGGCAAUCUUUUUAAACUGUAAAGUUAUAUGUGCACUUGAAAGUUUCUUGUCAAGAGUUGUACAAGUAAAAAAAAUUAAAAAAAAAACAAGUGUUUCCAUCUUUCUAGCUAUUUGCCAUUUUCACUUCGAUCCGAUUGAUCAGUCCUGAGCCUCUGAAUGAAAACUUUCACACUUGUGUGUGCACACAUGCACACACAUACGUUUGCCUGCAAUCAGUACAUUGAAGAGUCAAAUUUUGUGACAACGAUGGCAAGGUUCUUCUAUCUUGUUGAAAGAUAAUCACAAGAUUUCUUAAAUGGGUAACUGCACUCAGAGGAUCUAACACAAAGGAUGAGAAAAUAAAAUUGAAAACAAUUGCCUUUUCAAACCAAAGGGCCUACCUUAGCUACUUAAUAUUAUAGUGAUAACAAAUUUGAGAAAAUAGAUAGCCUUAAAUAUUGAUUCACUUGCAAAAGUGGCUCCAAUAGAAAGAUAUCUAGCAAUCUGGGGAAACGUGGAAUUCUAUACUCCAAGGAGUACUAGGAAAUGGACUUCAGACUCUUCAAGAUCUAUUAAGAUAGAGAGCAUGAAAUUUCUACUACAAUCAAGUAGUUCAAAAUAAAUGUUUAGAUGGAAAUUAUAUUCAUUUUCUUAUUUCUGUCUACGUUUAGUUGAUCAAGACGAACUCAUGUAAGCAGGGUAAAGUUUUCCUGCAGAAUAAGUGUGGUGACAAUUUUUAAUAGAGGCUAUUUAAACACAUAAACUAUAGAGGAAUCAUUUUCAACUGGAUUACCAAUGUCCUAAUUUACGUGUCCCCUCAUCUUUUUUUAUUGUUCCAAAACCUUGUCAUUAGUUUUAUAACAACUUGUAUGGCUAAUACUAGAUUUUUGAAAUGAGAACCUCAACCACUAAAUGGUGGUAAUAUUGGAAUCUCAAACUGCUCUAUAGGCCUUCAGGCUAUUUUAGUGCCUAAAACCCUCAAUUGGGACUGGCGGAGUAUUUGAAAGGACACUUCUGAGUUUUUUCAUUUCAAUUACCAAGAGAAACCCACUGAGAAAUGACAAGCAGACCUAUCGAAUAUCUUUAAAAUAUUAUAAAUAAAAUAAAAAUACAACAACUUGAACAGACAAGACAAUAGUCAAGGACUUGAUUCUUUGUUUUGUGCAAGAAUAAGUACAUGCAUGUAAUCUUGAGUGAACAACAACUUGUUCAUAUUGAAUGUAAAUGUAAAUCAAGUUGCGGCCUAACAUGGACAAAUGAGUAAUGGCUGAUUGACCAGCUGGAAAUUAAGAAUCGCUCUCCUCCCCUAUUUGCUUUAAAAUAUUGAAAAAAUAGGUGAAUUUUUCGUGUAUAAAUAGAAUGCAAGAGAAGAGGGGAAAAUUACCUGGGCUAGCUACACUUAAUAAUUUUACAGUUGACAGCAGAGUAUAUAUUAAAGAUGAUGCAGAAGAAGACCUUGGCAAUAGCUCUGGUGUGGCUCCUGGUUGCGUCGUCAAUCAUGAUGUGCACGUACGCAGCUGCAGACACUGCAUUUAAAACUGCUGACCAAGUUCUCCAUCCCCUAGCAGGUAAGAACGAACAUCCAUUUACUUAAUCAUGAAUCGCAUCUGUCCUACAAAUAUUCUGCAUAGUAUAUAUAUAUAUAUAUAUAUAUAUAUAUAUACACACACACUUACUAAUUAAGCGCAAUGUGUUUCGGUGCUUGAAUGCAUGCAUGCAUGUGCAUUUACGUAAUAUAUAAUUUAGAGUGUAUAUAUAUGUGUAUAUAUAUAUAUAUAUAUAUAUAUAUAUAUAUAUAUUCAUAGAACUAUAUAUGCUAAUGGAUACAUACACUACUUGAAGGUUGUCGCUGCUGCAACUUCAUUCGUGUGAAUGGGUUUAUCCAAUGCGGAAUAGUUUGUUGUGUGGAUGGAUGUUGCGGUCGCAAGUGAAGCACCUGCAAUGCAGCUACACAGACAAUAAUAUGAAUCAUGGUGGUGGUGUUGCACAAUAAGAUGAAUAAUGGUGGUCAAAAGUUGCAACAUCGCUGAAGCAAUCAAAGCCCCCCUUAUAGAUUUCCCUGUUUGUUUGUUUUGCAUUCCUAUCGAGUUAUAUAAUGUUUGUCGAAAAGAUCCUGUUUAAUGAAAAAUGUCUGGAAAUCUGGGUGUUUCAGCAGGAUUUCUUUAUGUUGAUGUAUGUAUGUAUGUCUACAUGAGGAUAUCUAUUAUAUAUACUAAAUCACAGUACAUGGCACCAUAUAUUGACAAAUGUCCUUCUACAAAUUCAACACUUGUCCAUCUUAAAUAGUUUUAAUUAUGUCACAAUUAUCUUAAUUAUAUCCUAUCCUUUUUUAAAUUAUGGAAAAAUAAUAACAAACCAAUUAUCUUAAUUAUAUCCUAUCCUUUUUUAAAUUAUGGAUAAAUAAUAACAAACCAAUUAUCUUAAUUAUAUCCUAUCUUUUUUAAAUUAUGGAUAAAUAAUAACAAACCAAGUAGAAUUUAAUCUCUUCAACAACUAAUGAGCACAAUUUUAUAUGGAUAAAACUUCCUAACUGAAUACGUAUAUUAAUCAGGCUAAUUAUUUAUUCUCAUAAAUGAAUAAAAACCAUGGCUUCUUCUUUCACGGUCAAUUUUCCUCUUCUUUUCCGUUUUGUCUCUCUGUCUUUCUUCUACUUAUGUCAUUCACGUUUCGCACGAUGGAAGAGCCAUUAUAUACACACAUUAUUACUUACAGGUUACAGCUAUAUGCAGGAGUGUGAAACAUAACCCAGAAGCGGGUGGAAUUAUUUCAUUGGUUUGCCUAUUUUCUAAAUUUUUAGAUAUUAUGUGCUAAAAUUUGAGAUUAUUGCAUUUGCAUUUAGUUGCUGAUAUGCGGAAUAAUGUUUGCAAUUGAUUUGAUUGAUCUGAUAUUUGUGUUGUCAAUCGUGUUUAAUUGAAAAUUUUGGUGGGUUUUCGAUUGGAAAGUUUGUGUUUAGAUUAGAACUAUUCACGUUUCUUAUAUCAACAGUAAGGAACUGGGUUUAUUUCUUAAUUUGAUUAUUUAGUAUCUUCAUUUUAAGUAUGUAUUUUGGUUUUGUUAAUAUUAUAAAUAAACACAAACAUGUAAGUAUGCAUGUAAAUGAUGAGGACAUGAGGUAUUUUAUUGGUAUGGCCUGUAGAGUUUUGGUUCUAAUCCACACUCCCGAGUCCCGUGUACAAAUUUACUUUUUAAUUGUUGCCUUUAUUUAGUACAAAUUUACUCUUUUAGACUUAUUCGUUUUAAAUGUGUUAUGGUCUUCUUCUUUUUUUUUUUGACUUAUCUCUAAUCCGAUUAUACUAUUUGAUCAUCGCACAAUAAUAUACUAUUUUUUUAUUAUAUUUUAAUUUAUUAAUUGUACGCAUAUAUUUAUUAUAAAAAAUUUGAAUAAUCCCGCCGCAACGCGGGGGUUUGUAUCUAGUAUCUAUCUAUAUAAAAGUGAUCGACUCGUUAAUCUAAAAGUAUCAUUCAUUUCAAGAGUUUGAUUCACAAUCUGUCCUGCCUACUAAUUUCAAGGAACAACUAGAUGAACUGCUUCUAGUGUUAACACAAGAAAAACUGUUUCUGCUCCAUACCAACCAAAACAUACAAAACUGCACCUUUUUAUAGUCAUUUCAUGAUACUUACCAUAUGAAUGUUCCAAUACACAAAUGUUCCGAUCUAUAAAAAUUUAUUUUUUAUUUUUUUGACAAAACCUGGAAAAAUAAUACAUUAUGUCGUCCAAAUUAGGGAGUACAUGUAUAAUAAGGUUGAGGGAUACCUACUCUAUUCAUAAAUGAAGCAAGUUACAAACUUCCAUAAUCUAAGUAAGAAAAUAAAGUAUCAAUAAACAACUAUCAAAGACAUGCCAAGUCUCGCAUCCAAUUUAUACCAUAUAAUCACCAUUUAACGAUCAUCAUAAAAGAAAAUCACUCACCACAUCAGUAGAAUCAGAGCUCCCACAAGGAGAAAAAAGACCCCACAAGAGUGGAGAAAGAACGAUUUAAACCUAAAGGAGAAAAUAAAAUUCCAUAUAAGAAAAAAAAAACAAUUAUAAAAUAAGAAAAGAUAGUCAAUAAGAAGAUCAUGAGAGGGUCUCUUCAAAUAAGAUACAGACCCUCCCUAGAUCUAAGUUUGAAGUUUGGGAGACUAGGGUUUAUGGCUAGAGAGAGAAAGAAAAACACAACUAUGAAUAAAUUAUUAGUCUCGUGAUUCGUGUUAAGGGUCUCACAUUUUUAGUUUCAAAUAGGUCUAAAAUGAUAUGACAUUGAAUAUUUUAAUAGUACUUUAACACUUUUUGAAACAAAAAAUUGGAUUUCUAACUGUAUUGAAUUUCUAGGAACUUCAAACGGAAUGCUGGAAUUUAUCAUGCACCUUUUCUACCUUCAACAGAAACUUCUCUACCCAACAAUGUGAUUUCUAACUGUAUUGUGUGCGUAAAAUAUACGGAUUUGGUCAUCUUAUAUUGUAAAAUCAGAAAGUCAAUCUUUUUUAUCUAUAAAGUUAUAUGUGCAUUUGAAAGUUUCUUGUCAAGAGUUGUACAAGUAAAAAAAUAAUAAAAUUUUAAAAAAAAAAAAAAAAGUUUCCAUCUUUCUAGCUAUUUGCCAUUUUCACUUCAAUCUGAUUGAUAUCAGCCCUGAGCCUCUGAAUGAAAACUUUCACACUUGUGUGUGCACACAUGCACACACAUGUGUGCACACACAUACGUUUGCCUGCAAUCAGUACAUUGAAGAGUCAAAUUUUGUGACAUCGAGGGCAAGGUUCUUCUAUCUUGUUGAAAGAUAAUCACAAGAUUUCUCAAAUGGGUAACUGCACUCAGAGGAUCUAACACGAAGGAUGAGAAAAUAAAAUUGAAAACAAUUGCCUUUUCAAACCAAAGGGCCUACCUUAGCUACUUAAUACUAUUAUAGUGAUAACAAAUUUGAGAAAAUAGAUAGCCUUAAAUAUUGAUUCACUCUAGCAAUCUGGGGAAAUGUGGAAUCUAUACUCUAAGGAGUACUAGGAAAUGGACUUCAGACUCUUCAAGAUCUAUUAGAUAGAGAGCAUGAAAUUUCUACUACAAUCAAGUAGUUCAAAAUAAAUGUUUAGAUGGAAAUUAUAUUCAUUUUCUUAUUUCAGUCUACGUUCAGUUGAUCAAGAUGAACUCAUGUAAGCAGGGUAAAGUUUUCCUGCAGAAUAAGUGUGGUGACAAUUUUUAAUAGAGGCUAUUUAAACAGAUAAACUAUAGAGGAAUCAAUUUCAAUUGGGUUACCAAUGUCCUAAUUUACAUGUCCCCUCAUCUUUUUUUAUUGUUCCAAAACCUUGUCAUUAGUUUUAUAGCAACUUGUAUGGCUAAUACCAGAUUUUUGAAAUGAGAACCUCAACCACUAAACGGUGGUAAUAUUGGAAUCUCAAACUGCUCUAUAGGCCUUCAGGCUAUUUUAGUGCCUAAAACCCUCAAUUGGGACUGGCGGAGUAUUUGAAAGGACACUUCUGAGUUUUUUCAUUUCAAUUACCAAGAGAAACCCACUAAGAAAUGACAAGCAGACCUAUCGAAUAUCUUUAAAAUAUUAUAAAUAAAAUAAAAAUACAACAACUUGAUCGUCAAGACAAUAGUCAAGGACUUGAUUCUUGUUUUGUGCAACAAUAAGUACAUAUAAUCUUCAGUGAACAACAAUCUAUGAAUAUAAAUGUAAAUCAACUUGCAGCCUAACAUGGACAAAUGACUAGGAUGGAUGUCGAGAGAUAAGACCUCACACAUGCGAGAAAUGGCUGAUUGACCAGCUCGAAAGAAUCACUCUUAUAGUCCUAUUUGCUUUAAAAUAUUGACAAAAUAGGUGAAUUUUUCGUGUAUAAAUCUAAUGCAAGAGAAGAGGGGAAAAUUACCUGGACUACAUUUAAUUUCUUAGUUGAAAACAGAGAAUUAAUGAUGACGCAGAAGAAGACGUUGGCAUAAUUGAAAACUGCUGACCAAGCUCUCCAUCCCCUAGCUGGUAAGAAUAUCCUUUUGCUUAAUCAUGAAUUGCAUCUGUUCUAGAAAUAUUCUGCAGAGUAUAUGGAUAGAUAUAAAGUAAUUAGGGGCAAUGUAUUUCAGUACUUGCAUGCAUGUGCAUUUAUGUAAUAAUUUUGAGUAUAUAAAUAUUUUUGAAGAAUAAUGCUAACAGAUACAUACACUACUUGAAGGUUGUCGCUGCUGCAACUUCAUUUAUGUAAAGCCAUUCAUCAGAUGUUGAACAGUUUGUUGUGUGGAUCGAUGUUGCAGUCCCAAGUGAAGCACCUGCAAUGUGGCUACACAAUAAUAUGAAUAAUGGUGGUGUAGUUGCACAAUAAGAUGAAUAAUGGUGGUCAAA